ACGUAGGAGGCAAGCGUUAUCCGGAGUUACUGGGCGUAAAGCGCGCGUAGGCGGGCUGUUAAGUCAGGGGUGAAAUCCCGGGGCUCAACCCCGGAACUGCCUUUGAUACUGGCAGCCUAGAGUUCGAGAGAGGUGAGUGGAAUUCCGAGUGUAGAGGUGAAAUUCGUAGAUAUUCGGAGGAACACCGGUGGCGAAGGCGGCUCACUGGCUCGAAACUGACGCUGAGGUGCGAAAGCGUGGGGAGCAAACAG
rnacentral:rRNA from 1 species